rnacentral:tRNA from 1 species
GUCCCGUUCGUCUAGAGGCCUAGGACACUACCCUUUCACGGUAGGUACGCGGGUUCGAAUCCCGCACGGGACGCCA